UGGGGAAUUUUGGACAAUGGGCGAAAGCCUGAUCCAGCAAUGCCGCGUGUGUGAAGAAGGCCUUCGGGUUGUAAAGCACUUUUGUCCGGAAAGAAAUCCUUGGCUCUAAUACAGUCGGGGGAUGACGGUACCGGAAGAAUAAGCACCGGCUAACUACGUGCCAGCAGCCGCGGUAAUACGUAGGGUGCAAGCGUUAAUCGGAAUUACUGGGCGUAAAGCGUGCGCAGGCGGUUUGCUAAGACCGAUGUGAAAUCCCCGGGCUCAACCUGGGGACUGCAUUGGUGACUGGCAGGCUAGAGUAUGGCAGAGGGGGGUAGAAUUCCACGUGUAGCAGUGAAAUGCGUAGAGAUGUGGAGGAAUACCGAUGGCGAAGGCAGCCCCCUGGGCCAAUACCGACGCUCAUGCACGAAAGCGUGGGGAGCAAACAGGAUUAGAUACCCUGGUAGUCCACGCCCUAAACGAUGUCAACUAGUUGUUGGGGAUUCAUUUCCUUAGUAACGUAGCUAACGCGUGAAGUUGACCGCCUGGGGAGUACGGUCGCAAGAUUAAAACUUAAAUG
rnacentral:rRNA from 1 species